CAGUCGCCACGGUAAUACAGAGGGUGCAAGCGUUAAUCGGAAUUACUGGGCGUAAAGCGCGCGUAGGUGGUUUGUUAAGUUGGAUGUGAAAUCCCCGGGCUCAACCUGGGAACUGCAUCCAAAACUGGCAAGCUAGAGUAUGGUAGAGGGUGGUGGAAUUUCCUGUGUAGCGGUGAAAUGCGUAGAUAUAGGAAGGAACACCAGUGGCGAAGGCGACCACCUGGACUGAUACUGACACUGAGGUGCGAAAGCGUGGGGAGCAAACAGGAUUAGAUACCCGGGUAGUCCCUGUCUCUUAUAC
rnacentral:rRNA from 1 species